GAUGAACGCUAGCGGCAGGCCUAACACAUGCAAGUCGAGGGAGAAGCCCUUUCGGGGGCCGAAACCGGCGCACGGGUUCGUAACGCGUAUGCAACCUACUUUUCACAGGGGGAUAGCCCGAAGAAAUUUGGGUUAAUACCCCAUAAUAUUAUUGGAUGGCAUCAUUUGAUAAUUAAAACUGCGGUGGUGCAAGAUGGGCAUGCGUCCUAUUAGCUAGUUGGAGUGGUAACGGCACACCAAGGCGACGAUAGGUAGGAGUCCUGAGAGGGAGAUCCCCCACACUGGUACUGAGACAGGGACCAGACUCCUACGGGAGGCAGCAGUGAGGAAUAUUGGUCAAUGGUCGGAAGACUGAACCAGCCAGGCCGCGUGCAGGAAGAAUGCCUUAUGGGUUGUAAGCUGCUUUUAGAUGUGAAGAAUAAGGCGUACGUGUACGUUGAUGACGGUACCAUAUGAAUAAGCAUCGGCUAACUCCGUG
rnacentral:rRNA from 1 species